GACGAACGCUGGCGGCGUGCUUAACACAUGCAAGUCGAACGGAAAGGCCCUGCUUGCAGGGUGCUCGAGUGGCGAACGGGUGAGUAACACGUGGGUGAUCUGCCCCUUACUUUGGGAUAAGCCUGGGAAACUGGGUCUAAUACUGGAUAGGACCAUGCUGUAGGUGGUGUGGUGGAAAGAUUAGUUUCGGUAAGGGAUGAGCUCGCGGCCUAUCAGCUUGUUGGUGGGGUAAUGGCCUACCAAGGCGUCGACGGGUAGCCGGCCGGAGAGGGUGGACGGCCACAUUGGGACUGAGAUACGGCCCAGACUCCUACGGGAGGCAGCAGUGGUGAAGAUUGCACAAUGGGCGCAAGCCUGAUGCAGCGACGCCGCGUGGGGGAUGACGGCCUUCGGGUUGUAAACUCCUUUCAGCCAUGACGAAGCCCUUGUGGUGACGGUAGUGGUAGAAGAAGCACCGGCUAACUACGUG
rnacentral:rRNA from 1 species